rnacentral:tRNA from 1 species
GCGGAUGUAGCCAAGUGGAUCAAGGCGGUGGAUUGUGGAUCCACCAUGCGCGGGUUCAAUUCCCGUCGUUCGCC